AUCUUGGACAAUGGGGGAAACCCUGAUCCAGCCAUGCCGCGUGAGUGAUGAAGGCCUUCGGGUUGUAAAACUCUUUCGACGGGGACGAUAAUGACGGUACCCGUAGAAGAAGCUCCGGCUAACUUCGUGCCAGAAGCCGCGGUAAUACGAAGGGGGCUAGCGUUGUUCGGAAUUACUGGGCGUAAAGCGCGCGCAGGCGGUCUUCCAAGUCAGUGGUGAAAGCCUGGAGCUCAACUCCAGAACUGCCAUUGAAACUGUUAGACUUGAGUACGAGAGAGGUGAGUGGAAUUCCCAGUGUAGAGGUGAAAUUCGUAGAUAUUGGGAAGAACACCAGUGGCGAAGGCGGCUCACUGGCUCGUAACUGACGCUCAGGCGCGACAGCGUGGGGAUCAAACAGG
rnacentral:rRNA from 1 species